rnacentral:rRNA from 1 species
UGGGGAAUUUUGCACAAUGGGCGCAAGCCUGAUGCAGCGACGCCGCGUGAGGGAUGAAGGCCUUCGGGUUGUAAACCUUUUUCGCUCAUGGUCAAGCCGCAGCUUUGGGUUGUGGUGAGGGUAGUGGGUAAAGAAGCGCCGGCUAACUACGUGCCAGCAGCCGCGGUAAUACGUAGGGCGCGAGCGUUGUCCGGAAUUAUUGGGCGUAAAGGGCUUGUAGGCGGUUGGCCGCGUCUGCCGUGAAAUCCUCUGGCUUAACUGGGGGCGUGCGGUGGGUACGGGUUGACUUGAGUGCGGUAGGGGAGACUGGAAUUCCUGGUGUUGCGGUGGAAUGCGCAGAUAUCAGGAGGAACACCGGUGGCGAAGGCGGGUCUCUGGGCCGUUACUGACGCUGAGGAGCGAAAGCGUGGGGAGCGAACAGG